rnacentral:rRNA from 1 species
GAUGAACGCUGGCGGCGUGCCUAAUACAUGCAAGUCGAGCGAACGGACGAGAAGCUUGCUUUUCUGAUGUUAGCGGCGGACGGGUGAGUAACACGUGGAUAACCUACCUAUAAGACUGGGAUAACUUCGGGAAACCGGAGCUAAUACCGGAUAAUAUUUUGAACCGCAUGGUUCAAAAGUGAAAGACGGUCUUGCUGUCACUUAUAGAUGGAUCCGCGCUGCAUUAGCUAGUUGGUAAGGUAACGGCUUACCAAGGCAACGAUGCAUAGCCGACCUGAGAGGGUGAUCGGCCACACUGGAACUGAGACACGGUCCAGACUCCUACGGGAGGCAGCAGUAGGGAAUCUUACGCAAUGGGCGAAAGCCUGACGGAGCAACGCAGCGUGAGUGAUGAAGGUCUUCGGAUCGUAAAACUCUGUUAUUAGGGAAGAACAUAUGUGUAAGUAACUGUGCAAAUCUUGACGGUACCUAAUCAGAAAGCCACGGCUAACUACGUG